AACCAAUAUUUUUGGUGACUCAUAAUAACUUUACGGAUCACAUUAUGUGACAUAUCAUUCAAGUUUCUGACCUAUCAGCUUUAGACGGUAGGGUAUUGGCCUACCGUGGCUAUGACGGGUAACGGGGAAUUAGGGUUCGAUUCCGGAGAGGGAGCCUGAGAAACGGCUACCACAUCUAAGGAAGGCAGCAGGCGCGCAAAUUACCCAAUCCUAAUACAGGGAGGUAGUGACAAGAAAUAACAAUACAGAACCUUACGGUUUUGUAAUUGGAAUGAGUUAAGUAUAAACCCCUUAACAAGUAUCAAUUGGAGGGCAAGUCUGGUGCCAGCAGCCGCGGUAAUUCCAGCUCCAAUAGCGUAUAUUAAAGUUGUUGCAGUUAAAAAGCUCGUAGUUAAUCUUCUGUUAAUUUUUAUAUAUAAUAUUUCGAUAUUUAUAUAAUAUUAACAUAAUUCAUAUUACUUUUUAGUAUAUGAAACUUUACUUUGAGAAAAUUAGAGUGCUUAAAGCAGGCUAUUGCCUUGAAUACUCCAGCAUGGAAUAAUAUUAAGGAUUUUUAUUCUUCUUAUUGGUUCUAGAAUAAAAAUGAUGAUUAAUAGGAACAGUUGGGGGCAUUUGUAUUUAACAGUCAGAGGUGAAAUUCUUAGAUUUGUUAAAGACAAACUACUGCGAAAGCAUUUGCCAAGGAUGUUUUCAUUAAUCAAGAACGAAAGUUAGGGGAUCGAAGACGAUC
rnacentral:rRNA from 1 species